rnacentral:rRNA from 1 species
AACGAACGCUGGCGGCAUGCCUAACACAUGCAAGUCGAACGAGACCUUCGGGUCUAGUGGCGCACGGGUGCGUAACGCGUGGGAACCUGCCCUUAGGUUCGGAAUAACUCCCCGAAAGGGGUGCUAAUACCGGAUAAUGUCUUCGGACCAAAGAUUUAUCGCCUUUGGAUGGGCCCGCGUUGGAUUAGCUAGUUGGUAGGGUAAAAGCCUACUAAGGCGACGAUGCAUAGCUGGUCUGAGAGGAUGAUCAGCCACACUGGGACUGAGACACGGCCCAGACUCCUACGGGAUGGAGGAGUGGGGAAUAGUGGAAAAUGGGGGAAGGCAUGAUCCAGCAAUGCCGGGUGAGUGAUGAAGGCCGUAGGGUUGUAAAGCGCUUUUACCCGGGAUGAUAAUGACAGUACCGGGAGAAUAAGCUCCGGCUAACUCCGUG